rnacentral:lncRNA from 1 species
UCUGAAGAGAAUAAACAUAAUUUCUGCAUGUUCGAUUUCAUUUUUGUCGACCUUAAUGAUCUUCAACGCAGCGGUAUAUAUGUAGCUCGAGCUACCUCUCAUCUGUAUAUAUGUUUCCACAAUUCCAUUUCUCUUGUCUCUCUAUUAUGCCAAUUCCGGCAAUGAGUAUUUAUGAUAUCUCUUUUCGAUCCAGAUUUUUUU